rnacentral:misc_RNA from 1 species
GAUGAAGAACGUAGCGAAAUGCGAUAAGUAAUGUGAAUUGCAGAAUUCAGUGAAUCAUCGAAUCUUUGAACGCACCUUGUGCUCUUUGGUAUUCCGAAGAGCAUGCCUGUUUGAGUGUCAUGAAAAUAUCAACCUUGACUUGGGUUUUGUGCUCUAGUCUCGGCUUGGAAUUGGGUGCUUGCCGCUUUUACGAGCGGCUCACCUUAAAUGUAUUAGCUGGAUCUGUCUUUGAGACUUGGUUUGACUUGGCGUAAUAAGUAUUUCGCUAAGGACAUUCUUCGGAGUGGCCUCGUUUCUAGGACGCUUGUCCGCUUUCCAAUACAAGUUCCACCUCGUGGACAUGACUUUUUAUUAUCUGGCCUCAAAUCAGGUAGGACUACCCGCUGAACUUAAGCAUAUCAAUAAGCGGAGGA